GACGAACGCUGGCGGCGUGCUUAACACAUGCAAGUCGAACGGAAAGGCCCUGCUUUUGUGGGGUGCUCGAGUGGCGAACGGGUGAGUAACACGUGAGUAACCUGCCCUUGACUUUGGGAUAACUUCAGGAAACUGGGGCUAAUACCGGAUAGGAGCUCCUGCUGCAUGGUGGGGGUCGGAAAGUUUCGGCGGUUGGGGAUGGACUCGCGGCUUAUCAGCUUGUUGGUGGGGUAGUGGCUUACCAAGGCUUUGACGGGUAGCCGGCCUGAGAGGGUGACCGGCCACAUUGGGACUGAGAUACGGCCCAGACUCCUACGGGAGGCAGCAGUGGGGAAUAAUGCACAAUGGGCGGAAGCCUGAUGCAGCAACGCCGCGUGCGGGAUGACGGCCUUCGGGUUGUAAACCGCUUUCGCCUGUGACGAAGCGUGAGUGACGGUAAUGGGUAAAGAAGCACCGGCUAACUACGUG
rnacentral:rRNA from 1 species